rnacentral:rRNA from 1 species
AGUGAACGCUGGCGGUAGGCCUAACACAUGCAAGUCGAACGGCAGCAUAGUAAGAGCUUGCCCUUAUGGGUGGCGAGUGGCGGAUGGGUGAGGCAUACAUCGGAAUCCACUACUUCGUGGGGGAUAACGAAGGGAAACUUACGCUAAUACCGCAUACGACCUACGGGUGAAAGCAGUGGAUCUUUGGACCUUGCGCGACACAACGAGCUGAUGUCGGAUUAGCUAGUUGGCGGGGUAAAGGCCCACCAAGGCGACGAUCCGUAGCUGGUCUGAGAGGAUGAUCAGCCACACUGGAACUGAGACACGGUCCAGACUCCUACGGGAGGCAGCAGUGGGGAAUAUUGGACAAUGGGCGCAAGCCUGAUCCAGCCAUGCCGCGUGAGUGAAGAAGGCCUUCGGAUUGUAAAGCCCUUUUAUUGGGAAAGAAAAGCUGCGGGUUAAUACACCGCUGUUCUGACGGUACCCAAAGAAUAAGCACCGGCUAACUUCGUG